rnacentral:rRNA from 1 species
UGGGGAAUUUUGGACAAUGGGCGAAAGCCUGAUCCAGCAAUGCCGCGUGUGUGAAGAAGGCCUUCGGGUUGUAAAGCACUUUUGUCCGGAAAGAAAUGGCUCUGGUUAAUACCUGGGGUCGAUGACGGUACCGGAAGAAUAAGGACCGGCUAACUACGUGCCAGCAGCCGCGGUAAUACGUAGGGUCCAAGCGUUAAUCGGAAUUACUGGGCGUAAAGCGUGCGCAGGCGGUUGUGCAAGACCGAUGUGAAAUCCCCGAGCUUAACUUGGGAAUUGCAUUGGUGACUGCACGGCUAGAGUGUGUCAGAGGGGGGUAGAAUUCCACGUGUAGCAGUGAAAUGCGUAGAGAUGUGGAGGAAUACCGAUGGCGAAGGCAGCCCCCUGGGAUAACACUGGCGCUCAUGCACGAAAGCGUGGGGAGCAAACAGGAUUAGAUACCCCGGUAGUCCACGCCCUAAAACGAUGUCAACUAGUUGUUGGGGAUUCAUUUCCUUAGUAACGUAGCUAACGCGUGAAGUUGACCGCCUGGGGAGUACGGUCGCAA